UGCAUUCACUACUGUAAGUUGCUCUGGAUAAGAGCGUCUGCUAAAUUACUUAAA
rfam:Salmo salar isolate Sally breed double haploid chromosome ssa04, whole genome shotgun sequence.